rnacentral:lncRNA from 10 species
UUUGAAAAUGGCUGCCUUCGCUAUUCCAAAGAAAACACUCACGCUAGCCACGAGGACAAAAAGCAUUUAUUUUUGUCUGGGCAAAUUUGCCUUCAGACCAAAAGCUUCUCAAGAUGGCAAAUGUUCUGCCUGCUAGGAUGUUGCCAGAUAAAACAAUUACUUACUAGAGUCAAAAUAACUCCAAAAGCUAUGCACUGAAGAAGGCAAUGAACAAUGAAAAGGGGUCAGGCGUGGUGGCUCACGCCUAUAAUUCCAACACUUUGGGAGGCUGAGGCCAGAGGGCGGCUUGAGUCCAGGAGUUCAAGGCUGCAGUGAGCUAUGAUUGCACCACUGCACUUCAGCCUGGGUGUCAGAGCGAGACCCUGUCUCUAAAUAUAUAAAUUAAAAAGAAUGAAAAGAAUACUUCACCUCAGACCUCAGCCUUUCAUCCUUCAGCUGAAUGGAAUAUUUGGAUCUCACCUAUGAGCUCAAUAAGAAAAGAAAAACACAAAUGACUGAAAGCAGGACUUCAGCAGCCCUGAGAAAUCAUGGACGGGAAUCCACCUUUGUUUACUACAAAACACCCUGCUUCACGGUUUCUCAUUGUGCUACCUUCCUUCGGGGGAACCCCAGGAUUUCACAGGCUGAUAUCCCCAGCUACAUCCAAGUUUCCAGAAAUGAGGAUCCAUAGGCACAAAGUGAGGUGUCCCCAACCCUCCCUUUUUACAGCCCAUGCCUGAUAUUUAUCGGAACGUCCACAAGGCGAUGGUGAACGGUGGCCAAAUGAGAAGCUCAGUGUCUGGGAAAAUGAUUGAAAAUGGCCAAGUGCCACAGUGAGAGUUGUUUGUUCUGGGAAUGGAAGGAGGAAAUUGUCAGAGGAAGUGAAAUAGGAAAUGAAGAGAUCAAAGGGAGGAGGAAAUAAGAUUGAAUUGAGCCCUUUUUGGAUUCAACUUUGCACUCUUAACCCAUGUGAGGCAAAAAGAUUAGCCUUUAAACAGCUGGAGUUGGGGAGAAACACUUUCCAACGGGUGCAUCCUGGCGACUGUUAGCUCCCACAUCCCACCCCACAAAUGGACUGCAGCAGGGGAGCUGAGGGAAGCCAGAUCCGUUUCCUACAGAAAAUCCAGUGGUGAGUGCCCCCAGGCAAUCCGCAAAUGCUCAUUUAACCCAUAACACUCUAAUAUGUACAACCUGAGCUCAGACACUUGCCCCCAGAAAGAAGUGGGGCUCCUCUAGAACCACCCACUUUUGCAGCACUGAUGGUGGGAAAUGGGCCUUCCAAAAGGCAGAGUUUGUGAUGGAAGAGUUAACAACUGGGAUGAAGCUCCAGGGGGUGAUGUGGUGAUGAGCUAAGGGAACCAAGCCCUAAGAAAGAUCCUUUGUCCAGGCUUGAAUCUCUGGUCAUCUGGGGGCCUGUCUCCUUCCAAUCUUAGGGUUAGUACCUGUAUUUUCCAAUUGGGGUUUUGUUCCCUCAGCCCAUGGGGGGACAAGUCUUUCAAUAAUAAAUAGUUAUUGAUCACCUAGAGGGAGCCAGAUACUGUCCUAGAUGCUAGGAAUAUGGAAGUAAACAAAACAGACAAAUAUCUCCACUCUCAC